rnacentral:lncRNA from 1 species
AUGCAACAAGAGUUGGACAGGAGUAUAACUAGAGAACUAAGAGAAGUAUCCUUUCUCUACUACUGCCAUUGCUGUGGAACUGUCCAUCUGCACCCUGACACCAUUCUCAGAAAGCAUGAAGUUCAUCAAUGUCUCAAGUGUCUGGUAGUGGUUAAGCAAGAACACCCAGACUCAAGGAGUUAUGUUUGCAUAGCUGUCACUUGAUGGGUGACUUUAUAAUUUAUGUGUCACUGACUUUGUCACUAGUUUAUCUCUUGCCCUCAGGAAAAGCUCCAAACACUUGCAUCAAUUUGGGUCCUUCCAAAGUAGUUGGUCUUAUCUCUUUACUACCUUAUUCUGCUGCUUAGCUGUGCAUCUAACCAGCCAGACUAUGUAGGAUCCCACAGAUUUUUUUCCUCACCUCUGGACUUUGUACGUGCUUCUCCCCUCUGACUCUUGUACUUUUUCCUGUCCUUCAGGUAGCUACUUCCAUAGCACCUCCACCAAAAAGCUGGCAGUAUUGACACAAAGCCAGCUGUCCCUUCUGAGUGUUCCUUGUGCCAUCUUGUAUACCUGUCUUAGUAUUUAUGACUCUGUAUGGAAAUUGUCUGUUCAUCUAUUUUUACAGUUUAUAGCAUUAUCCUUUCUCAGGGUGACUGGAUCACCUUCAUCUUGUAAUUCCAGUGUUUGUUACAGCACCUUAGCAGAUAGUUAUUGAGUAAAUGAAUGAAGAAUGAGAAAGCCAGAAGCUCUGAUACUCAGCCACAUGUGGGACCAUGGGUUGAUUACAUAAUUGUAAUCCUGUAUUUUGUUUUCUGUCAUUUAUAGAUAUGUUUCAUUUUUCAGAGCACUUAGAAAUAUAUCAUGUUUUUGUUUUGUUUUGUUUUUAUUAAUACUGAGUUAACUCGAGUAUUUUAGAUAAAGAAUGUAAUCCUUGUUUUCUUUCCAGCUGCUGCUGAAUUUGAAUCUGAGUCCUAUGGAUUGUCUCCUCUAGGAGCUACAGAUGGGUCAAAUCUGUCUCAGGACAUGCUUUUGAAAACAUCACAAGAAUAUGUACAGAUUUUGAAGAAAAAGUAUAUGAUCUGAAAGAUAAAUAGUGAAAAUUUCCCUUCUGGACUGUUUUCAUGACAUUUUAGUUGUUUCUCAUUAAACAUGAUGAGAAAAUCUUUAUUAAAGGGAAAUAUUUUUGUGUGUAUGAUGAAAAUUUGUAUGGUAUUUUAAAACU